CUGGGUGGGCAGCUCCUGGGUCACCAUCUCGGGGGUUUGGCCUUGGAGCUGGUUCAGCUGCUUCAGGCCCUGGUGGCCGGUGCUUUCUGCUUGACCUUGCCCUCACUAAAAGAGGAGUAUAUUCCUGGAGCGAAAGAGAGAACCUGUGAGACGUUCCACUGGGUUGGGAAACGGAAUCCAGAAAAGAACUUGCCUUUCCGGUAGCCCCGCAUUUUUCCCUGGUCAGAGCCUGGGGUUUUGACUUUCCGAAGGGCUAAACCCUGGCCGGGGAAAGGACCUCAGUGCCGGUACCCUGGCGUGGACGAGUGAGGAGGCUGGACUGCUUCUAAAAAGGCCCAAGCCAGCUCAACUAGAAGAGGACUGCAGAAAGAAAUCUGCUGAAUUCCCCGUCCCGGGGUUGGGAGAUUAAGCACAGAGUUCCCGAAUCCCCUUAAAACUGGAAGAAAAUGAAGAACUUUGUGAUUCUGCCUCAGUGGAGGAAAAAGGAAGACAGAAGUGAAUGUGAGGAUACAGUGAAGAGGACAUUCAAAGGGUCCUGGAAGUCCAGCCUGAUCUGGAUCCCACCCCUGCCCCCUCGGGCUCCGUCUUUCCCCGAGGCCACGAGCAAAGGCAGUUUCCAUCCUAUUGUGCCGGCCUGGCGUUCAAAGGCAUGUGGGCCGCCACGGCCAUACCGUCUGCUGCCGCUGCCUGGCGCCCACAGGGCCAAGGCCCCUCAGCCUGCACCCUUGGCAACUAGAUGGGAGUCCAGGGGAAGUCUGUGUUACCAAAAUCACCACCAUACUGGAUUGAUUUAAGCCAUUCCCCAACUUCCCCGGACUGCGGAGAGACUUGCGCCUUUCCCAGAUUCCGGGGUUCCCCCUUCUUACCUCAGUUUGGGGACUUGAAAAUCCGGGGGCUGCUUUCAGACUGUUCCUGCACCUUGACAAAUCCCACCCACCUCUGGAGCCCUGGCCUCUUUGCUCCUCCUGCCUGGUACCCAGACCCUGAAGGGGCAGCAGAGACGGGGCUGGCCCUCCUGCCGCUUGUGCAUCUGUGAGCAAACAAGCCGAGGAGCUUUCAGGAGCUCCUUGUGUGCUCCAGGAGAAUCCAGCGGUUCCACAGGGCAGGCCAGGAGCCAAGGAGCUAGGGGUCCCCGUGCAAAAACAGAAGGAAAAUGUAGCGCUCGCUCAAAGAACAGAAAGAAACCUUGACUGUUCUCUCAGUUGUAUUCCUGAAGUCACUUUAGAAGUACCCUGAUUUUUCCAAUGAAAAUUGCUGGAGUUUACCCAAGAGAUUAAGGAAGUCAUCUGGCAAAUUCUAAAGGUGAGAAGAAAAAGCAAGAGGGUGAAAUAAUAAAAUAGAAAAAAAUAAAAUGCGUACAUAGAAAUAUUCAAGCGAAAUGACAAACAAGGUCACACUAGUGAUUGCAGGGUUUUUCUUCUUAGUUUGGAUGCAGAGAGGAGAUAACUUAUUCUCUUCCCAAAUCUUGAAUACCAGAUUUGUUUUUCUUCACUGGCCAGGCUCUAUCCCAGCUGAAUGGUGAGCAGGGCAAUCCCAGACAAAAUGAGGCAUUCUCAGAGAACCAGAAAACAGGUUUUCAAACAGGUAUGAAAACAGGAGGCCCAGGAGAAUGAAAAAAGCCCAUGAUCUACCUCAGAUCUCAGAGCCACCCGGCAGCCUGGCCAGCGCAAUCACUCUCAUAUCUGGACGUUGUACACACUUGCACCCAGACGCUAUGGACUUUAGCGUAUGUCCAAUUCGCAUUUAACUGCAGAUACACAGCCACAAACAUUCGCUUUUACCCAGAGCGCUCCCUGAGAUCCUGGAAUCUUGAAGUCUGGUAAUUUUCGCCAGCCUGUUUCCUGGCCCUGCUGAAGCCGAACAGUUAUUUAACUUUGCUUCCUAAAUCAAAAGAAACCAGACUGCAAACACCUCGAAGAGAAGCGUUGGGAGGAGGAGCCCACCGAGGAGGUUGUCUUGCGGGGAAGGCCUUGGUCCCCACUUUAAUGGUUUGUUUCUAAGUUGCCCCAGUAGGUCAUUUCAGAGAAAACCACCUCUCUUGCCUCCCUGAACAAAAUUCUUUUUUGAAGAUCUAUUUUAUUCUUUCUUUUGUGUUUUCUUGUUUUAUUCUUUUAUUUUCUCCUUUUCCUUUUUGUUUCCUUUGCUUUCUAGUCUCCUUUUCCUUCUUUUUCUUGCAAUUCAUUUUCCUUCCUCUUUUUUUGAUCCUUUUCUUAAUUUGUUGUCUUCACUCCCCAUUUCCUCUUUUUCUUUUUCCUUUAUUAUGCAAUGAUUCCUUUGUUUUUUUCUUUCCUCCUCAGUUCUUUCCUUCUCUUUAACUUUCCUUCCUAAGCCUUCUGGCCUUCUGAUUUUAUUCUGUUAUGCUGGGCUCAGUGUGUGUGUGUGUGUGUGUGUGUGUGUGUGUGUGUGUGUGGUGGGGGUUGCACCAGGAUUAUUUGCAGGCCUCUGGAUCCUGGCCACUCGGGCUUGGAGUUGACCUUCUCCCGCCUUCAGCCUUAGCUCGGCUUCUCUCAAAAGGCGAAGUGUAGGACUGUCAGGCAGCAACCAGGCCUCAGCCGUCGCCAUUAGAGGGAAGGAAAAAAAUAAACCAGCUCUGGGGUAAACCUCCAACCAAUGCCAAUGGCAAUUUGAAACGCCAGGUUUCAGGGGACGAUUAUCUUCAUUUCCAUUACCCCCAAGUCCACCAGGGUUGCCCCUGGAGAAGUUGCCCCACCUUUAUACUGGCCAUUAGAGCCACACAUUAAAAUGGCCCAAAGUUAAUCCCAGUUAUUUCCCCAAGGUUAAAAGAGGAAAAUGAGGGAGGGGAGUCUGUCACUUGGAGUCAUCAUCCAUGGACUUGGAAGCCCAAGGCCAUGUCCUCACCUGGGCACCUUUGUUCUUUGUGCUCCUGGACUGCAGUCUGCUGGCCUCUGUUGCCUUUGGUUCUGUAACAACUGCAAUCUCUGGACAGGAAUUUCUUGGCAUUUUUGGAUUCUAUUUUUCAUCAAGCUCGUUUUAGAUUUUACAGGCAGCAGGGAUGCGGGGCUAUGUGUGCAGAGACCAUCCCAAAUCAGCAAUCUGAGUCAAGGUUAGGAUCCUGUCCACUUUGUGGUGGGAGGAGGUGUUGGAGGUCAGAGUGUGCAGGGAUGGGAAUGGUGGGGAGAAUAGUGUCCGCCAGACAAUCAGAGAGUGUGAUGGUGAAGGUAUUGUUGCUAUUGUUGAAAUUUUAGGGGUGUAUUAGGAUAUAUCCCAAGAAGAUAAGAUAGCAUACAUUACUCUCCUGCUAAAUCCUGCAGCCUCAGUUAGCUGGCAGCCCCCACAGCUAGGUCCAAGGCAGGCUUCAGGAAGGAAAGAUUGAUGUUAAACUUUAAGCCUUUUUGCCUUUAGCAAAGACAGGCAGCUUAAGAUCCCCCCUCUUCCAACAUAUACACAAUGAGCCCCAGAGCCCUCUGUUUUCCUUCUCGAAGACCUGAGAUUCCAAACUAAAACUUUUAAGUUACUUUUUUUAAAAAAACAGAGGAAGGAAUCUUGUAAAACUUUUAUGCUAAACAAAGUUAUAAAAACUUCCCGGGCGUUGCCUUUUCCACAGUUUUAUAUGAAUAAUAAAGAGAGUUAGUCGCGUGCACAGUGUUCUGCCUGGCUCUGAACUGGGAGGGUUUAGCAACAGCAUUAUCCAGCCCCAGGGCACCAGGAAACCCCAAGAGCUGCCCCCUUCAGGGAAUAUUGGCCCAAAAAGGAAUUGUCCUACAGUGUCUUGAAGAGGGGGUGAGUCGGGGGUGGAGAAAGGAAGGGGUGGUGCCCUUGACUCCCUUGAAGUUCAAAGUUCUUUGCCCUGAAGAGGAAAGUUUCUGUGUUCUCAACCCCAAGAUAAUUUCCUCCCUCUGAUUGAGAGCCCGCUGCAGGUAACCCCAACUCAUCCUCUUUCAGACACCAAGUCUAGCCUUUUUUGCUUCCCCUUGGGUCCCACCAUCUGGGAUUUUUAGAACCCAGGAGUUUUCUCUCAGAGGUGCUUAGUGGUAGUUGUGAGCUUUCUUCCCAGGAACCCUUGCAUUGCCAUUCCCUAGCAACCUAAGGUUGUGAUUGACAAAGUAACCCCAAACCCAAGGCUACUCCCCAACCAUUUCUCAUUUGGAGUGUCCCUGGUUCCCUGCACCCCCAAAGCCCAUGGUGGGAGGAGGAGGGGCCCCAGCCCACACCACUUAAUACCCUUGUAAACUCCCACGUGCGCUAUAAACUUGGAUUUUUACAACCAACAUUCCUCCUUAGCUCCAGGAAACUUUGAACUCGGCCUCGGGUUUAUUUACUUGGAGGUGGGGUGGGGAGC
ensembl:lincRNA